UAUACCUUCACUAAUAAAUGUUAAAUAUUGGAACAUGUUUUUGGUAUUAAAGUUAACACGUUAAACAUUUCGCCUGAGAAUUACGGUCGCAAGAUUAAAACUCAAAGGAAUUGGCGGGAGCUUAUUAAAGACGGUGGAGCAUGUGGUUUAAUCCGAUAAUCCGCGUAAAACCUUACCAAUUUUAAAUAGAUGC
rnacentral:rRNA from 1 species